rnacentral:rRNA from 1 species
AUUGAACGCUGGCGGCAUGCCUUACACAUGCAAGUCGAACGGCAGCACGGGAGCAAUCCUGGUGGCGAGUGGCGAACGGGUGAGUAAUAUAUCGGAACGUGCCCAGUCGUGGGGGAUGACGCAGCGAAAGCUGUGCUAAUACCGCAUACGAUCUACGGAUGAAAGCGGGGGAUCGCAAGACCUCGCGCGAUUGGAGCGGCCGAUAUCAGAUUAGCUAGUUGGUGGGGUAAAGGCCCACCAAGGCGACGAUCUGUAGCUGGUCUGAGAGGACGACCAGCCACACUGGAACUGAGACACGGUCCAGACUCCUACGGGAGGCAGCAGUGGGGAAUUUUGGACAAUGGGCGCAAGCCUGAUCCAGCAAUGCCGCGUGCAGGAUGAAGGCCUUCGGGUUGUAAACUGCUUUUGUACGGAACGAAACGGCCCUUUCUAAUACAGGGGGCUAAUGACGGUACCGUAAGAAUAAGCACCGGCUAACUACGUGCCAGCCGCCGCAGUAACAC